AACGAACGCUGGCGGCAUGCCUAACACAUGCAAGUCGAACGAACCCUCCGGGUCUUUUUGCCCAUGGCUGCGUCACGCGUGGGAACAUGCCCUUAUGGUCGCCCUAUCUCCACGACUGGGGUGCCAAUACCGAAUAAUAUCUUCGGACCAAUGAUUUAUCGCCUCUGGUUGUGCCCUCGUUGGAUUAGCUAGUUGGUAUGGUAAAAGCCUACUAAGGCGCCGAUCCAUAGCUGGUUUGAGUGGAUGAUCAGCCACACUGUGACUGAGACACGGCCCGGACUCCUACGGGAGGGGGCAGAGGGGAAUAGUGGACAAGGGGCGUAAGCCUGAUCCAGCAAUGCCGCGUGAGUGAUGGAGGCCUUAGGGGUGUAAAGCUCUUUUAACCGGGAUGAUAAUGACCGGACCGGGAGAAUAAGCUCCGGCUAACUCCGUG
rnacentral:rRNA from 1 species